rnacentral:rRNA from 1 species
AACGAACGCUGGCGGCAGGCUUAACACAUGCAAGUCGAACGCCCCGCAAGGGGAGUGGCAGACGGGUGAGUAACGCGUGGGAACAUACCCUUUUCUACGGAAUAGCUCUGGGAAACUGGAAUUAAUACCGUAUACGCCCUACGGGGGAGAGAUUUAUCGGGGAAGGAUUGGCCCGCGUUGGAUUAGCUAGUUGGUGGGGUAAAGGCCUACCAAGGCGACGAUCCAUAGCUGGUCUGAGAGGAUGAUCAGCCACAUUGGGACUGAGACACGGCCCAAACUCCUACGGGAGGCAGCAGUGGGGAAUAUUGGACAAUGGGCGCAAGCCUGAUCCAGCCAUGCCGCGUGAGUGAUGAAGGCCUUAGGGUUGUAAAGCUCUUUCACCGAUGAAGAUAAUGACGGUAGUCGGAGAAGAAGCCCCGGCUAACUUCGUG